rnacentral:rRNA from 1 species
AGCGAACGCUGGCGGCAGGCUUAACACAUGCAAGUCGAGCGGGCAUCCUUGUGGUGUCAGCGGCAGACGGGUGAGUAACGCGUGGGAACGUGCCCUUCGGUUCGGAAUAACUCAGGGAAACUUGAGCUAAUACCGGAUACGUGCGAGAGCAGAAAGGUUUAUCUGCCGAAGGAUCGGCCCGCGUCUGAUUAGCUAGUUGGUGAGGUUAUGGCUCACCAAGGCGACGAUCAGUAGCUGGUCUGAGAGGAUGAUCAGCCACACUGGGACUGAGACACGGCCCAGACUCCUACGGGAGGCAGCAGUGGGGAAUAUUGGACGAGGGGGGCAACCCUGAUCCAGCCGUGCCGCGUGAGUGAUGACGGGCUUAGGGUUGUAAAGCUCUUUGCUCCGGGACGAUAAUGACGGUACCGGAGGAAUAAGCCCCGGCUAACUUCGUG